UAUGGAAUGAUACUGAUUAAGACACAUUCUGUCCCAAGUUGUCUUUAUCCUUGUGUUUUAGUGUUCAUUGAUCAUAAUAUAUAAUAUUAUACACACACACACACACACACACACACACACACACACACACAGGACAAAAAAGAAAACCCUCAAAAUGUAAAAUUGUAUAUUCCAGUGUACUACAUUGAAUGUAUUCUCUAAACGUUUUCUAAGUUUAUAAAGACAUGGGACAUAUACUUUUAAAUCUCAGGUAGUCAAUUGAAAUGUCCUAGUGUGUUCAGUAAAAGUGAGUUGGGGAUUUCUAUUGUGUGGCUGAGUUGUUGAGAGUUUUACACUAUGUUAACCACUGCACCUCAUUAAAUACCUACUAGCUGUUGCUUUUGAUGUUAAAAGAAUUCUGGAUUUUUACUUCCUGUGUAACAGUGCUUUUGAAUCCCUUUACUGACUCAGAUAGAAUUUCUGAAGUUCUACUGCAAAUGCCUUUUUAUUUACAAAUGUUUUGUACUUAAUCCCAUGUGAUCAAGUGUUGUCUUUACCCAUUAUAACAUCAACUUCUGAAUGCAAAAACUUUAAAUUUUAUCUUAGUAAAAUGCAAUGGUUGAGCCACUUUGUCAGUGAUUUCGAUAACCUUAUACUUACUUUGGCAUUACAAGAAUAAUACUUUUUUAGCAUUGCUAGCCUCUAGGGUGUGCUCUUGCAGUUGGUGCUGGAUAUUUAACACUGUAGUGCUACAUACAUAUGUAAUGUAAUGCUACACACACACCCACUGAGGGCAGCAGAAGAGCAAAGGCCUUGUGGGUUUGUAUCUCUAACCUGUUUGUUUUCUGUUUUCUCUGUAUUUGCCUAAAAUUUGGAUUUAAGACAGUUACUCAAGGCCAUUGGGUAUGAUUUUCAAGAUUUUCACAUCAUGAAAAUUUUAAAUGGCAACAUUGUUUUCCUGAUCCACCCCC
rnacentral:lncRNA from 1 species